rnacentral:rRNA from 1 species
AACAAACGCUGGCGGCGUGCCUAAUACAUGCAAGUCGAACGGUAACAGGCCCUUCGGGGUGCUGACGAGUGGCGGACGGGUGAGUAAAGCUUAGGAAUCUGCCUUUUGGAUUGGGAUAGCCUAGGGAAACUUAGGGUAAUACCGAAUAAGUCUUAAGGGAGAAAGCAGGGGACUGAAAAGCCUUGCGCCAAGAGAUGAGCCUACGUCGGAUUAGCUUGUUGGUGAGGUAAAGGCUCACCAAGGCGAGGAUCCGUAGCUGGUUUGAGAGAGCGACCAGCCACACUGGGACUGAGACACGGCCCAGACUCCUACGGGAGGCAGCAGUGGGGAAUUUUGGACAAUGGGCGCAAGCCUGAUCCAGCAAUGCCGCGUGAAGGAAGAAGGCCUUCGGGUUGUAAACUGCUUUUGUACGGAACGAAAAGGUUUGGGUUAAUACCCUGGGCCGAUGACGGUACCGUAAGAAUAAGCACCGGCUAACUACGUGCCAGCCGCCGCGGUAAGAC